rnacentral:lncRNA from 1 species
GCGUGCAAAAGGCUGCCCUCUUGUCAGAGGCGGGGACAACUUAGCGGUACAAUUUAUGCUCCAGAGUCAUCUGUGGGUGAGGCCAAGGCUGGACUUUGCCUGGGAUCACAUCCUUGUUUGACUCUGGCCCCUUACUCUGCGGUUCUCAAACUUUAGGGUGCAUCAGAAUCACUUAAAAGGCUGGUUCAAUGACAGAUUCCUGGGUUUCCCUUGCAGAGUUUCUAGGGUAGCUCUUGAAACUUUUCAUUUCUAGCAAGUUCCCAGGUGACGCUAAUGCUGCUCCUUUGGGAAAUCACAAGUGGAGAAUCACUGCCCUUCCUUAUACUGUUUCCCGUACUCCCUUACAGGUUUUCCUAAAGAUCACUCCUCCUAAGAGUCAGCCGCCUCUGAAUCCCUGCCUCAGGCUCUGCUUCUGGGGAACUGCAUCUAAGACAACAAGGAGGGUUGACCAGCCUCUUCCCUUCAGAAAAGUCACAGGCCCCGGCGGUCUCUGAGGAAACUGACCCUGGCCAGCUGAAAGAGCACCACUUUGGCUGGCUUAGUCCGAAUCAGUCACCUCCCUUCUCUGCGUUUUUCUCUCACCUCUACAAAGAUGGCGAUGGGCAAGGUAAGCUCACCUCUGCUUCCCCCUGCGCUUUUGCAAUGGACCCACUGAUCUGCCUGCUCUCCUCUCACCCCUACAAACCAUGUUGUCUAAGGUAAAUCAGGUCAUGUCACUCCUUUGCUUAAAGCCUCUGUGAAAAGACAGAGUAAAGGCCCUCCCUGUGGAUAUGUCCCCUUCCAUGGCAAAAGGGACUUUGCAGAUGUGUUAAGGAUCAUGAGCGAGGGAGAUUAUCCUGGAUGAUCUGGGUGGGCUCAACGUAAUCCCAAGGGAGGCGGGGAGGUGCCCCGGACAGAAGAGGAGCUGUGACAAUGUAGGCAGAGGUUGGAGUGAUGUGCUUUGAAGAUGACAGGAGACCACGAGCCAAGGAACGUAGGUGACCCCUCAAAGGUGAAACAGACAAGGAAAGAAGCUCUCCCCCAGAGCCUCCGGAAGGAACCAGCUCCGCUUACUUCUUGACUUUGGACCAGUGAGACUGAUUUUGGACUUUUGGCCUCCAGAACUAUAAGAUAAUAAAUUUGUGUUGUUUUGAGCCA